UGGAUUUAAUGCUGCAAUGUGGAUUUGAUUUGGGAAAUGGCCAGUGCUGGUUUAUCUGGAACUCUUUCGUCAGAAAUUGGAAAUUUGAGCCAUCUCCGAACAUUGUUACUGCAGAACAAUCAGUUAUCUGGUUCUAUCCCGACUAAGAUAGGCAAGUUGUCAGAGCUUCAAACUCUAGACCUUUCCAGUAACCAGUUUGUUGGAGAAAUUCCUAGUUCUUUGGGCUUAUUGUCUCAACUAAGUUACUUGUGGCUCGGCAAAAAUAAUCUAUCUGGACAGAUCUCUAACUUGACAGGGACUUGUCAUUUAAUAAUCUCAAUGGUCCCACUCCAAAAAUUUUGGCAAAAGGUUACUGUGAGUUCUUUAAUUGUAUUAGAUUUUUUGCCUAGAUAUGCAACAGCUAAAUUCUGAUUAUCCUAUUAAAAAGAAGAAACACUUGUAGCACUUUUUAAACUAGUUGGUUUAGAUUGUUAGAAAAAUAAACUAAAUUUUGAAUAAAUAUUUUAUUUAUUUAUUUAUAUAUUGUAUGCUACAAAAGAAUUUCAGGUUUUUAUGAUGGCUGAGUCAGGGGUGAAAAAAUUCAGCCUAAACAUCAAGAAGACUGGAAAAGUUGUGCUCCCUAAAAAUGAAAAAGGUCCAUAUUACUAAUGCUAAAAUAUGGAAUGCAUAGGAUCCAAGUAUCAAGGAACUGGCUGAACAAAUUAGCUUGAGGAGAGAAUGGCACGCAUAAAAGAAGAUCCAUCUUUAAAGCAUAUUUUAGAUGAGAUAGAGACUAGUGGUCCUACUGCUAUGAUGAGGUUUGGAUGGCAAAAUUUCUUAUUUUUUUGGCCAUUUCAAAAUUUCUAUCAGUUCAAUGUUUUCCAAAUUUUAAAUAGUUUCUAAAGUAUUUCAGGUUGUUUGUGCAAUUUGUAACACUAAGCAGCCGGUAAAUAUUUUCUUCCAACUUAUUUCUUGGAGAUGGACUAGGCUGAAUUUGAUGCAUAAUUCCAGCUAGGAAUUGUUAAUAUUCUUGCUUCCUCAAUGAUGCUGAAUGUUUUUUAAAUCAAUUUGCAGAUAGAAAAACAACAGUUUCGUUGUGAUGAUUGUGGAAUCUGUAGGGUUGGUGGUCAAGAGAACUAUUUCCACUGCAAAAAGUGUGGGUCAUCCUAUUUAGUUACACUAUAUGACAAUCAUUUGUGUGGAGAACUCCAUGGGCAUGUGCAUUAAUGAAGCUGCUGUUAUUGCAAUUAUGUAGUUAUAUGAUAUUGAAACAUUGAAGUUAUUUUAUUUUAUUUUUUUAAUGAAAAACAAGUAAUAGUUAUGAAGAACAAUAUCAUAUGCAAUUAUGUUUGGAACUAUUGACAUUGAGAACUUUUAUAUA